GUGCUCGCUUCGGCAGCACAUAUACUAAAAUUGGAACGAUACAGAGAAGAUUAACAUGGCCCCUGCACAAGGAUGACACACAAAUUUGUGAAGCUCUUUUUU
rnacentral:snRNA from 1 species